rnacentral:rRNA from 1 species
GACGAACGCUGGCGGCGUGCUUAACACAUGCAAGUCGAACGGAAAGGCCCUGCUUUUGUGGGGUGCUCGAGUGGCGAACGGGUGAGUAACACGUGAGUAACCUGCUCUUGACUUUGGUAUAACUUCAGGAAACUGGGGCUAAUAUCGGAUAGGAGCUCCUGCUGCAUGGUGGGGGUUGGAAAGUUUCGGCGGUUGGGGGUGGACUCGCGGGUUAACAGCUUGUUGGUGGGGUAGUGGGUUACCAAGGCUUUCGCGGGUAGCCGGCCUGAGAGGGUGACCGGCCACAAUGGGACUGAGGGAAGGCACAAGCUGCUACUGGAGGCAAGAGGGGGGAAGAUUGAAAAAGGGGCGGAAAGCGGGUGCAGAAGGGCCGCGGGCGGGAAGACGGGCUUCGGGGUGUAAAACGGUUUCGAGUGUGACGAAGCGUGAGUGGACGGAAUGGGAAGAGAAAGAACGGGUAAAUAAGGGG